rnacentral:lncRNA from 1 species
UGAGGAGACGGGCUUACCAUUAAUCCAGUGCCCUUUCUGCAAUAGGGCACGGGUAAUUGAGCGGCGGACGCAGCAAAAUUCUAUCAACUACGGUCGGAUCUACAUAAAUGCCUAAGGAAUGAAAGAUGGGUGAGUUUGAUUUUGGAUUUGUGAUUUCAGGAUUUGCAUUUGGUUGGCUUCAUUUUGUUGACUUGUAUAUCACUUGAUGUUCAGAUUCUAGAUAAGUGUGAGUACUAUAGGUGGCAAAGGUUUUAUUUCAAAGAUUUGGUUGAUGCCAAGGUGAUUCAAGUGUUUCACGGGCAAGAUGAUGAACAACUUGAUGAACAAGAAAAGCAAUCCAUGGUACUUGAGUGUGUGAGGAGGGCAGUAGCAAGUGGGAAGUUGUAGAAGGAAGCCAUGGAGGCAAAACUGGAUAAAAUGAUGAAUGCCUUGGUGCUCUUGACUGUGUUACUUGUAGAAUUUAUGCGUGUUGUAGUUGGCUACAUGUUGAAGUAGUAGGAACAUUUGUGUUGCACUUUGUUAUAUGUGUUUCAGUCAACAAUGUAUUGUAUCUGUGUGUGAUGAAUGAACAUUCACUUUUGUUUGUUAGGAAUGAUGUAUUUCUACUGAUGAAAUUGUUGCACUUUCGAAUGAACAAUCUAUUGAUGUAUUUCUACUUAAUGAAUAAGUUUUGGCUUAAGCAACCAUACAUGUAAUUCAUGGCCAACUGCCCAACACACAAAAGCAUAAUUCAUGGCCAACACUCAAAAGCAUAGUUCAUGGUCAAAACACAAAAGCAAAACACAGACAUUCACCCAAGCAGACACACAUGGUAAACUUUUUUUUGGUGUGGCCUUCUUCACUUUGGUCGCUAGCACCUUCCUGGG